UACGUAGGGUGCGAGCGUUGUCCGGAAUUACUGGGCGUAAAGAGCUCGUAGGUGGUUUGUCGCGUUGUCCGUGAAAACUCACAGCUCAACUGUGGGCGUGCGGGCGAUACGGGCAGACUGGAGUACUGCAGGGGAGACUGGAAUUCCUGGUGUAGCGGUGGAAUGCGCAGAUAUCAGGAGGAACACCGGUGGCGAAGGCGGGUCUCUGGGUAGUAACUGACGCUGAGGAACGAAAGCGUGGGUAGCGAACAGG
rnacentral:rRNA from 1 species